UACAGAGGGUGCGAGCGUUAAUCGGAAUUACUGGGCGUAAAGCGUGCGUAGGUGGUUUGUUAAGUCUGAUGUGAAAGCCCUGGGCUCAACCUGGGAAUUGCAUUGGAUACUGGCAGGCUAGAGUGCGGUAGAGGGUAGUGGAAUUCCCGUGUAGCAGUGAAAUGCGUAGAUAUCGGAGGAACGACCAGUCGGCGGAAGGCGAAGCUGACCUGGACCAGCU
rnacentral:rRNA from 1 species